GGGUUCCUCCUCCAAUGGUCUUUUUCUUUUCCUCCGAGGCGGGAGAACACUUUUGGAAACGCUGAAGCGAUUGAAUAUGGAGGACUUUGUUAAACUAAAGUUAACAGAACGGCAACUUUUGGAGCUGAUUGACACUUUUGCAGAUUGCGCAGGACUUCGAGGUUCUUCAUAAAGAGGCAUCAGACUAAAUGUUUGACCUGGAGGAGGUUCAGCGAGAAGCUUCUUCAUGCAGC